CCACGUUAUUCAUCGAAAUGUAUGUCCAUCAUCGAUAUUAGUUACCAAGCGUGGUACCUGGAAGCUGGCUGGCUUAGAAUUUAUUGAAAGAAUGAAUGAGACUGAUGUAAAUGAGUUAGUUCCUUGUCAACCCUGGAGUAACAGGGUUUCAAAAAUGGCUCAACCAAAUUUGGAUUUUAUGGCUCCCGAGACUCAAUUAACUUCGAAGGGCAGCCUACUUAGUGAUAUGUUUU